rnacentral:rRNA from 1 species
CCUACGGGUGGCAGCAGUCGAGAAUCAUUCACAAUGGGGGAAACCCUGAUGGUGCGACGCCGCGUGGGGGAAUGAAGGUCUUCGGAUUGUAAACCCCUGUCAUGUGGGAGCAAAUUAAAAAGAUAGUACCACAAGAGGAAGAGACGGCUAACUCUGUGCCAGCAGCCGCGGUAAUACAGAGGUCUCAAGCGUUGUUCGGAAUCACGGGGGGUAAAGCGUGCGUAGGCUGUUUCGUAAGUCGUGUGUGAAAGGCGCGGGCUCAACCCGCGGACGGCACAUGAUACUGCGAGACUAGAGUAAGGGAGAGGGAACCGGAAUGCUCGGUGUAGCAGUGAAAUGCGUAGAUAUCGAGAGGAACACUCGUGGCGAAGGCGGGUUCCUGGACAUUAACUGACGCUGAGGCACGAAGGCCAGGGGAGCGAAAGGGAUUAGAUACCCCAGUAGUC